UGAGUAGCACUGUGAUAACCACAUCACGGCU
rnacentral:piRNA from 1 species